UAAUAUACAGUAUGUAUGAUCCCACUUGCCAUGGCUCAUACUGCUUUAUUUUACUUUUUCUGAAACUGAUUUAUUUUAUGGUCAGUGAACACAACACCCCUGCAGACUAGGGUCGUGUACCCCGGAAGAUAGCAACACUUUGGCUGCGCUGUCUCGCUGUGACAUCUAGUUCGAUUAUAUUGGACUGAAGGCAGACAUCUCUACGGCUGAUAUCUCCAACAGGCUGCAACUCACACCAAAACAUUCUAGAUUGAAAGAAAAGCACUACAGUCACCAGAGAGCCACAAUGGAGAGAGUGGCUCCAGCAUCCGUGACACUGAGAGAGCUGAAAGGGCUAAGAGGGCUGCACUUAUUUGCAGUGCAGAGAGCUUGUGUGCUUCACAGAAAGCCCACACCCAUGCUGCUCUGGAAAGACUUGGAGUCUCCACCCAGCAGGCCACCCUCCCUUCACCUCAUCCCCCAGUUUCACCCAAAAGGAGGCCUGAAUCCACUUUUCCAAGGAGGCUCAGGCCCAUUUCAGUGGACCAGACAUUGGACAGAGAGGACCUCAUUGUGAAGGAGAGAAGCCCCAGCCCAGACUCUUCCCUCAGCUCUGUGGACACACACACUCCCACUGAGCUGAGGGACAUUCCAUAUCUGGGACAUUUCACCCCGACUCCUCCACCUACAGCAGCACCCAGGAGAAGGUCUCGUCUCCCGGUGAUGUGUGUUAGAGUUGGUGGAGCAGUCAAAGAGGUAGCUGAUGGAUACAAGCUCCAGUCAGCUAAAACUACGAUGGAGGAACUCACUAGGUCGCUGCAGAAGUUCCAGGUUAUCCAUCAACCUAAACCACCAGCAGCACCCAGAAGGAUCCCAGCUAUGGCACCCAAGGUUCCAGCACCUCCAGCAACAGUGUCCCAGCCCAACAGAAGAGGACUCUGUCGUAGGACCGUGGCUGAAGCACCCAAGGUUCCAGCACCUCCAGCCACAGUGUCCCAGCCCAACAGAAGAGGACUCUGUCGUAGGACCGUGGCUGAAGUACCUAAGGUUCCUGCACCGCCAUCAACAUCUGCCCCACCCAAAAAGAAAG